AUGAAUAUAAGAUACAUACUGUAGACCCAACACAAAGAUAUUUGUUGUUGCCACAGGGUGGAGCUCUGCGGCCUGAUGUUAAACAGCAGCUCAAGCUAAAUAUGACUGACUCAAGGUUGAGUUUGACACUUCAAGCUUUCAGACUACUGAACAGUGACCAUGUUUACUGUUGUCUUCAUUGUAUUUUCACUGCUUAAGGAGAGUGCUGAUGCAUAUACAAUAGAAUCUCUCUUACCAGAACAGCAUGUUUCAGUUGGACAAAGUGCUGUUAUCUCUUGCAAAUACAGUGGUAUUGGGCCCAGCUUUCAGUGGUACCGCCAAUAUCCAGGAUCCAGACCUGAGUACCUUAUUUUUAAUGCAGAGACUGGCGUUUCUUCCGAACACACUUUACGUCUCAAAGCACAGGCUAAAAAAGAGAUCACAGAAGUGGAACUGGAGAUCUCCUCUACUGAAGUCAAAGACUCUGCUGUAUAUUACUGUGCCCUGAGGCCCACAGUGACAGGAAACCCACCUGCUCUGUACAGAAACUUAAUACAUUAACACAUCUUGCAUUACACAAACAUUGUGAGACACCAGCUUCCAAUCAACCAUAACAGAUCAAUGAUGCAACUGUUCUUAUUUUUCCAAAUGUAAAGAAACAAUGUUAGGUCUUUUGAUUUUAAGAAAAGGACAACCCAUCAGCGAAGAUAAAGCCUCAGCCAGAGGGUGGAGCAUAUUCACAAAGCUGAACGUUUGAAAGGCUGAUUCAUUCACUCAUCCUGCUUUGAUAGUUUUACAAUCACUCUUUAUUUGAAACCAUCAUGUUUCUGUUUUGUUGGAUACCACUGACAUUACUCAUGGGUAAAUAAUUUAAUUUAUGUUUUUAUUCUUGUUUACUAAAAAAUAUUUUCAUGUGCUCGAUUGUAUAUAAGUUGCUUACCUUACGUGUUAAUUUAAUUAACAGUUUCAUUAACAGUUGCUUUUUGUCCAUACAGGAGAUUCUUUUGCUGACACAAUACAGCCAUUGUCUUCUGAAAGGCAUAUUUUCAGAGGCGAAACUGUGACUCUGUCCUGUAACUACAGCGGUCGGGUAUACAAUAUUCAGUGGUAUCGGCAAUAUGUGGGAUCUAGACCAGAGUUCUUGAUACUUGUAAAUGAAAAUUCAGAGGCGUCUGAGCAUUCUCUUCGUCUGUCAGCAAAAGACUCAAAGAAACAAGUGAAUCUUACAAUCUCUUCUGCUGAAGUGACAGACUCUGCUGUGUACUACUGCGCUCUGAGGCCCACAGUGAUAGAAAGCCCAGAAACACUGUACAAAAACCCUGAUUCUGUCAGAUAAUUUUGUACUCCGCUGUAAAAACAUUUUGUGUGUGUGUGUUACUACAGUAAUUUUAUUCUACUGUUUAACACUUCAAUGAGUAAUCCAACCAUAUUGUUUCAGUUAUGCAAGAUGCUUUAAUUUCAUAUUUGAUUUCAGUUAGAAGAAAUAAGGCUAAAUAUGUUUACAUUAUGACGUAUUCCCGUAUAUUACAGUUUGUCUUUUUAUAUUAUAUUAUAAUAUUUUAGUUUGUCUCUUUGGUAAGAAAGCUUCAGUAACUUAAAGUUAAUGUUUUACAAUGUUUCAUUUUAUUACAUUUGUCUAUAAACUAAUGCCCAAAUAUAAACAUUGAGAAGCACUUUAAAAGGGAUACAUGUAAAAACCUUCUAACUUGGCAAAAGUCAUCAUCACAGAGUAAAAAUACAAAUACUGUCCAAGUCCUCUGUGAUUGAUAAACGUCUAAAUGUGUUUGUUUUCACCCAGAAGAGGGCUUUCAUCUCUUUUCUGUAUCCCUCAUGCACACAAUGAGCUCAAGACUCGUCCUGGAAGGUGAAAUCUUGCCACAGGGUGGAGCUCCAGACUUAAAUCACAGUGUUUCAGUCAAGAAAAGUAACAUUUGAGUCAUUUCAUUCCAUCAUGCUGCUCUGUGCACUUGUGAUAUUUUCAGUAUUUGCAGGUGAGACUUGUUUAUUUUAUUUAAUCACCACCUCUUUUGAUUUAAAACUGUUAGAAUUACAUUUAUUUUAUCGCAAUAUUGAAUUU
rnacentral:lncRNA from 12 species